ACAGUAGCAUUACUGAAUCCAGCACAGGCGGUCUCCUCUGCCACGACACUACCCGUUUGCUGCCACGUGUACAUGAACCUCGUGGCCGCAAAAAAUAUCCUUCAUUUUUUUCUUCUUUCUCUUCUCCGCCACUUCUUAAACCCUGCUCCUCUGCUUCGUGGUGCCCCAAACCUCUUCUUCUCUUUCUUUUCCCUCUCUCAAUUCCAAACAGUAGAAUUAGACACCCUUUUGGAAAAGGAAGUGUUUUUUGAGGGAAAGGAGGGAAUUUUUUGUGUGGGAGGGUGGAACCCGGAAUUCGGUUUGGUUGGGGUAGAGAGGAUGAAGAUUCAGUGUAACGUGUGUGAGGCUGCGGAGGCCAAGGUUCUUUGUUGUGCUGAUGAGGCUGGGCUGUGUUGGGAGUGUGAUGAGAAGGUUCAUGCGGCUAACAAGCUUGCCAGCAAGCACCAGAGAGUGCCUCUUUCUACCUCUUCCUCUCAUAUGCCUAAAUGUGACAUUUGUCAGGAAGCAUUAGGCUAUUUUUUCUGUCUAGAAGAUCGGGCUCUGCUCUGCAGAAAAUGUGAUGUGGCAAUACACACUGCAAAUGCUUAUGUCUCUGGUCAUCAGAGGUUUCUUCUAACUGGUGUAAGAGUAGGCCUUGAAGCUACAGACCCUGGUGCUUCCUCAACUUCUUUGAAGUCAGAUUCUGGGGAGAAAGUUUCAGAUUCUUCUGUCUCUAGAAAGGUUUCCACAGCGCCCCAGCCAUCAAAUUAUAAUGAAGUGUUACCCGCUGAAGUUGGAGGAGUUGGGGAGUUUCCAUCAGCCAAGGUGUCCUUUGGUGGUGGUUCCACAGCUGGAAAUAUCUCACAGUGGACUAUUGAUGAAUUUAUUGGCUUAAACGAGUUCAGUCAGAAUUAUGAUUACAUGGAAGGAUCGUCAAGGAGUUCAGAUUCAUCUUUUGUCAUAGAUUGUGUAUACUAGUGCCCCUUCAGACACACUAACACACGCGCGCGCGUGCAGGGAGUAAAAGGACAGGGAUGGGGCUGAUCCGGUCUUCUGAGGGAAUAUGCCCUGUUAACAUGGUCACAUGACUAAACAACUGGCCAAUGUAGUAUAAGUUUUAUAAAUAUGUUGAAUAUUUGUGGUCAGAAAAGGUGUGAGUAGACUUCAAACAGUGGAAUCUGACAGAUUGGUUGGUUGAAGUGCUUGUGCUUGGUUUCAUUCUUUCCCUUAUUUGCUGACGGUGGUAAGCUUGGGGAUUCUGAUUCUCCUGUUUUAAGAUCUGGUGAAGAGGAAAUGGAGGAGGAGGAUGACUAUUUGGAACGCGUUCCAGAUUCGUCGUGGACAGUCCCGCAGAUCCCUUCCCCACCUACUUCUUCUGGGUUAUGCUGGCCAAAAGACCAUACUAAUCUGUAUGGUUCAUCUGAUAGUGUUCUGUUUGUUCCUGACAUAAGCUUCUCUCACCUGCAACAAUCUCAGAUUAGUAUUUUUUUGAGACGCCGGAGGCAGCUUUAAUUUGUUUACUCUUUGCUAAUAACUUGAGGCAUUGAUUUCUUUUAUUUCUGUUAUGAUUCUAAGUUCUCUCAUGUUGCAGUGAAGUGUCAUUUCAUUAGUUGCAUAUUUCUAUUCUUGGCUGUCUCAGCCUUCUAGGGAGUAAUCUAACUCUCUACAUGUCAUUGGAAAUUUGCAUAGCAAAGCAGCAACAAAUAAUGGGAGUUUAGAAGGCUUUUACUAGUAAGUUGGGUCUUGUAACAUUAUCAACUCCUCUCUAGAUCCUAUGUAGAUGCAUCUAUUGGAUUAUAAUAGAGAUCUGAUUCAUAUUGGUUUGUUUGUGUCAA